UCAUAGCAUGAGCAAAGAAAGUGGUUUCUUGAUAUGGAAUCUACCCCUGAUGAAGAUGCUGUGAA
rnacentral:pre_miRNA from 1 species